UUUGUUUCUUUGUUUCUUUCUUCGUACUUCGAACUGUCUCUAUUUUCCCCUUACAGCGACCUCCAUCGGAACUUUUUGACCGGCAUCAUACCACCAUCUUUGGGUAAUCUAAGUUCUCUUCAAUACCUAUCUUUAUUUUUUAAUAAGUUAUCAGGUGCAAUUCCUCACGAACUUGGAAAACUUUCUCAACUCCAGAUAUUGUAUUUGGAUGAUAAUGAACUGAACGGUACACUUCCAAAAGAACUUGGGAAUUUGAGAAAUCUUCGAGCACUGUAAGUAUAUAU